CUUGUGCUGAACUGUUUUAUAUGGGAGCAACAUUACACAUGAUAAAAGGAUCCAAAAAGGGGGGGGGGUGUUGGAGAUGUCACGCUCGCCUGUCUUUAAAACUUGAGAGCCCUGGAUCUCUAAUUACUUCCACUCCAGUCUGUCUGAUCCUACAUCUCCUCGAACGCUUCCUCGGCAUCGGGUCGCACACGGUGUCUUUAAUCCUGUGUGUGAUGUCCGACCGACUGCGAGACACGAUGCUGUGAAGCGGCUUUAGUUUUCAGUGUGGAUUUGGAAGCGAGUCAGAUAACAGGAAGGAGAAGUGAUUCACAUGAUACAUGCAAUAAAAAGAUAUUACAGUCUUUUA